rnacentral:tRNA from 3 species
GCGGAUGUAGUUCAGUGGUAGAACGUCAGCUUCCCAAGCUGAAUGUCAUGGGUUCGAGUCCCACCAUCCGCU